AAGAAUUUCAGUUUUUAUCGUAUUUGGGGACUCUUAAUUUGACAACAACAAUGCAUUCGGACCAGAGAUGACGCGGGAGUAGGCGGGACUCUGGCCUUCUCAGCGGAAGUGACGACAGUGAUAGUUUGUUAGUCAUUUUAGCGGGAAUAUCCGUAUGGAAAGUAGUUGUAUUCACUCUGAGCAUUAAUUGUAAUGUGUAAGUAAAGUGUCAGUGGGCUGAUUGCAGCUACUGAAGAGAAGCGUGUUCUUGGAUAAAUAUCAAUGACGGCUUGAAUAAAAGCGGAGUGGAUCGCGCUCACGUAGGGCUAAGGGACAUGUAGCAGACUGCAACUAAAAACGAAAAAUAAUGCAACGGACGGUAUCUAGUUCUCCUUUGGCGCCUUCUGUAAAGGUAAAACUAAUAAAUGCCGGGUUUCACACAGCAGCAGAUUUAGUUGAUCUACUACCACUUCAGCUAUGUCAAGAAGCAGGCAUAUCGCAGGAGGAAGCGAAUGAGGUUUUGCAAGCCUUGCGGCACGAUUCCCGGCUCUGCCAGGAGAGGGCAGCAGAAGGAUGCAUCACGGCACUGGAGCUCCUGCACUGUGAGCAAAGCCAGGGCAGCCUAGUGACGUUCAGCUCCGAGCUCGACGCUGUCCUCGGAGGGGGGGUUUCCGUGGGCAAGACCACGGAGAUAUGUGGCACCCCCGGCAUUGGGAAGACCCAGCUGUGCAUUCAGCUGGCUGUAGACGUGCAGAUCCCUGUAUGCUUCGGGGGGCUUGGGGGGAAAGCUGUAUACAUCGACACAGAGGGCGGCUUCCUGGUUCAGAGAGCGGCGGAGAUGGCGCGGGCCGCGGCGGAACACUGCGCGCUGUUAGCCGAGGACACAGAACAGAGGGCAGCCUUGGAGGACUUCACCCUGGAGAAGAUCCUCUCCAACAUCUUCCUCAUACGCUGUCAUGAUUACGUGGAGCUGCUGGCUGAGACGUACCUCCUGCCCAACCUUCUACAGAAGUGCGCUGAGGUGAAAUUGGUUGUGAUUGACAGCAUUGCCUUCCCGUUCCGGCAUGACUUUGAAGACUUCUCUCAGAGGACCCGCCUCCUUAACAGCCUCGCCCAGCAGCUCAAUCAGCUAGCCAAUCAGCAGCAGACAGCAGUGGUGCUGACCAAUCAGAUGACAACCAAAGUCUCAAAUGGCCAGUCAAAGCUUGUGCCGGCUUUAGGUGAAAGUUGGGGCCAUGCAGCUACAGAGAAGCUGAUUCUACACUGGGAAGAAGAUAAAAGGUUGGCCUCUCUCUACAAGUCUCCCAGGCAAAUGGAAGCCACUGUCCAAUACCAAAUUACGGGUCAAGGAUUCAGGGAUGCCAGUGUGACGCUGGAGCUCCGCCCAUGUGACCCACCCCCCAGCGUGUCGUAUAAGCCCCACCCUCCAAGCCCAUCUGCCAGCGCUCCAGCAUGGAACUGCAGCAAGCGUCCUCGUGUAGAAGCACAGCACUCUUAAGAUGGCUCAGAGACGCCGCACGCCCUCUGUACCUUUAAAGUCAUAUCGGAGAGUGCAAUAACACCACAGACAUGUAUCGGGUUACCUUACAUAAAAUUCCUAAAUGAAGGGUGUGCUGUACUGCCUUAUGGGCAGUUACAAAAUGUAGCCCAUCUGUGGCCAUGGCGCUGUGUCAGCCAUCAGGACCUGUACUUCCUGCUUCUGCAUCAGAUAUCCUCUGCCCCUGCCUCAGUGGACAGUUAUGCAUCAGUGACCACAAAACUGCUCCUGAACCAGAUAUGAUGGUGGAAGACCAUUCUCAGUACAGAGCUGAUAAAGGCUGUGGGUGUUGUGCUGGUAUGAGUAUAUGAGACCCAGCAGGGACCCGGCAGUGUUGCUGAUAUGAAUGCAUGAGACCCAGUGGUGGUGUUAGUGUGAGUGUAUCAGACCCAGUGGUGUUGUUAAUAUGAGUGUAUCAGACCCACUAGUGUUGUUAGUAUGAGUGUAUCAGACCCAGUAGUGUUGCUGGGUUUUUUAUGUGUAUCAGUGUCUGUGUUGGGUUGAGAGUGGG